rnacentral:tRNA from 1 species
CAGGUCUUUGUAGUACAUCUAAUAUACUGGUCUUGUAAACCAGAGAAGGAGAACAACUAACCUCC